GACGAACGUUGGCGGCGUGCUUAAUACAUGCAAGUCCACUGAAGCAGUGGUAGCAAUAUCGCUGUGGAGGUGGCGCACGGGUGAGUAACACGUAGGUAAUCUGCCUUCAGGUCUGGCAUAACUCCGGGAAACCGGGGCUAAUAGCAGAUGAUGCAGCGGCUCGACAUCGAGACAGUUGUUAAAGCUAUGGCGCCUGAAGAUGAGCCUGCGUCUGAUUAGCUAGUUGGCGGGGUAACGGCCCACCAAGGCAACGAUCAGUAGCUGGUCUGAGAGGAUGAUCAGCGACACUAGAACUGAGACACGGGCCAGAGUCCUACGGGAGGCAGCAGUAAGGAAUAUUGCUCAAUGCGUGAAAUCCUGAAGCAGCAACGCCGCGUGAGGGCCGACGGGCUUUUGCUUGUACACCUCUGUAGUGAGAGAAAAAAAUCCCAAUCUUUGGGACAUGAUGGUAUCUCAAAAGUAAGCCCCGGCUAACUACGUG
rnacentral:rRNA from 1 species